rnacentral:rRNA from 1 species
CCUACGGGUGGCAGCAGUGGGGGAUAUUGCACAAUGGGGGAAACCCUGAUGCAGCGACGCCGCGUGGGCGAAGAAGUAUUUCGGUAUGUAAAGCCCUAUCAGCAGGGAAGAAGAAAUGACGGUACCUGAGUAAGAAGCACCGGCUAAAUACGUGCCAGCAGCCGCGGUAAUACGUAUGGUGCAAGCGUUAUCCGGAUUUACUGGGGGUAAAGGGAGCGCAGGCGGCACGGCAAGCCUGAUGUGAAAGCCCGCGGCCCAACCGCGGGACUGCAUUGGGAACUACCGGGCUGGAGUGCCGGAGAGGUAGGCGGAAUUCCUAGUGUAGGGGGUAAAUGCGUUGGUAUUAGGAGGAACACCAGGGGCGAAGGCGGGCUACUGGACGGUGACUGACGCUGAGGCUCGAAAGCGUGGGGAGCAAACAGGAUUAGAUACCCCUGUAGUC